GACGAACGCUGGCGGCGUGCUUAACACAUGCAAGUCGAACGGAAAGGCCUUUUCGUUGGUACUCGAGUGGCGGACGGGUGCGUAACACGUAGGUGAUCUGCCCUGCCCUCUGGGAUAAGCCUGGGAAACUGGGUCUAAUACCGGUUAGGACCGCACUUUAGUGUGUGUGGUUGCAAGUUUUGUCGGUGUUGGGUGAGUCCGCGGCCUAUCAGCUUGUUGGUGGGGUGAUGGGCUACCAAGGCGCCGGCGGGUAGCCGGACGGAGAGGUUGGUAGGCCACAGAGGGUCCGAGGGAAGGCCCAGACAGCGAAGGGAGGGAGAAGGGGGGAAGAGUGAACAAUGGGCGCAAGGCGGGUGCAGAGGGGCCGCGGGGGGGAUGACGGUCUUCGGGGUGAAAAACCCUUGUGCAAGGGACGAAGCGUGUUGUGACGGUACCUGGAGAAGAAGCACCGGCUAACUACGUG
rnacentral:rRNA from 1 species